rnacentral:rRNA from 1 species
GACGAACGCUGGCGGCGUGCUUAACACAUGCAAGUCGAACGGAAAGGCCCUGCUUUUGUGGGGUGCUCGAGUGGCGAACGGGUGAGUAACACGUGAGUAACCUGCCCUUGACUUUGGGAUAACUUCAGGAAACUGGGGCUAAUACCGGAUAGGAGCUCCUGCUGCAUGGUGGGGGUUGGAAAGUUUCGGCGGUUGGGGAUGGACUCGCGGCUUAUCAGCUUGUUGGUGGGGUAGUGGCUUACCAAGGCUUUGACGGGUAGCCGGCCUGAGAGGGGGACCGGCCACAUUGGGACUGAGAGAGGGCCCAGACUCCUACGGGAGGCAGCAGUGGGGAAUAUUGCACAAUGGGCGGAAGCCUGAUGCAGCAACGUCGCGUGCGGGAUGACGGCCUUCGGGUUGUAAACCGCUUUCGCCUGUGACGAAGCGUGAGUGACGGUAAUGGGUAAAGAAGCACCGGCUAACUACGUG